AUAACUCAGUGGUAGAGUGCGACCUUGCCAAGGUCGAAGUCGCGGGUUCAAAUCCCGUU
rnacentral:tRNA from 1 species